rnacentral:tRNA from 1 species
GGAUUUUUAGUAUAUUUAAGUAUAUCUGAUUGCAGAUCGGAUGGUAGGGAAUCUU